GACGAACGCUGGCGGCGUGCUUAACACAUGCAAGUCGAACGGAAAGGCCCUGCUUGCAGGGUACUCGAGUGGCGAACGGGUGAGUAACACGUGGGUGAUCUGCCCUGCACUUCGGGAUAAGCCUGGGAAACUGGGUCUAAUACCGGAUAGGCGCCAUUUUUAGGGUGAUGGUUGGAAAGUUUUUUCGGUGUAGGAUGAGCUCGCGGCCUAUCAGCUUGUUGGUGGGGUAAUGGCCUACCAAGGCGGCGACGGGUAGCCGGCCUGAGAGGGUGGACGGCCACAUUGGGACUGAGAUACGGCCCAGACUCCUACGGGAGGCAGCAGUGGGGAAUAUUGCACAAUGGGCGCCAGCCUGAUGCAGCGACGCCGCGUGGGGGAUGACGGCCUUCGGGUUGUAAACUCCUUUCGCUAGGGACGAAGCUUUUUGUGACGGUACCUAGAUAAGAAGCACCGGCUAACUACGUG
rnacentral:rRNA from 1 species